GGACCCGCACAAGUGGUGGAGCAUGUGGUUUAAUUCGAAGAUACGCGAAGAACCUUACCUGGCCUUGACAUUGAUAGAAUCUUUCAGAGAUGAGAGAGUGCCCUUCGGGGAGCUUGAAAACAGGUGCUGCACGGCUGUCGUCAGCUCGUGUCGUGAGAUGUUGGGUUAAGUCCCGCAACGAGCGCAACCCUCGUCACUAGUUACUAACGGUUCGGCCGAGGACUCUAGUGAGACUGCCUUCGCAAGGAGGAGGAAGGUGAGGACGACGUCAAGUCAUCAUGGCCCUUACGGCCAGGGCGACACACGUGCUACAAUGGGUAGGACAAUGAGACGCAAUACCGCGAGGUGGAGCAAAUCUAUAAACCUACUCUCAGUUCGGAUUGUACUCUGCAACUCGAGUGCAUGAAGCUGGAAUCACUAGUAAUCGUAGAUCAGCCAUGCUACGGUGAAUACGUUCCCGGGUCUU
rnacentral:rRNA from 1 species